UACGAAGGGUGCAAGCGUUACUCGGAAUUACUGGGCGUAAAGCGUGCGUAGGUGGUUUGUUAAGUCUGUUGUGAAAGCCCCGGGCUCAACCUGGGAAUGGCAAUGGAUACUGGCAGGCUAGAGUGCGGUAGAGGGUAGUGGAAUUCCCGGUGUAGCGGUGAAAUGCGUAGAGAUCGGGAGGAACACCAGUGGCGAAGGCGGCUACCUGGACCAGAACUGACACUGAGGAACGAAAGCGUGGGGAGCAAACAGG
rnacentral:rRNA from 1 species